UACGGAGGGGGCUAGCGUUAUUCGGAAUUACUGGGCGUAAAGCGCACGUAGGCGGAUUAGAAAGUCAGAGGUGAAAUCCCAGGGCUCAACCUUGGAACUGCCUUUGAAACUCCUAGUCUUGAGAUCGUGAGAGGUGAGUGGAAUUCCGAGUGUAGAGGUGAAAUUCGUAGAUAUUCGGAAGAACACCAGUGGCGAAGGCGACUCGCUGGACUAUUGUUGACGCUGAGGUGCGAAAGCGUGGGGAGCAAACAGG
rnacentral:rRNA from 1 species